CCACACAUAAGUGAUAUCAUAUGGUAUUUGUCUUUCUCUAUUAAGUAUUUUCCUUACAAAACCAGAAAAGUUCUGUGUAGUUGAUGGCAGUCAGUGACGAUGCUGGGUCUUCAGAAAGCAUGACCAUCAAAACGAUGACGGUUGAAGAUAAGAGGUCAGAGACCUCCCAUCGUCAGCAAUUAUAAGCAAGGUGACAGACACUCACAAUGCUAGGAAUUAUUUAGAUUUAAUUUUUGAAUUGUCAGUACAUUCACAUGGUUCAAAGUUCAUGAAGUAAAAAGAAUGUACAGUGGAGUCUCCAUCUGAGCCCUGUCCCCAGCCUUCCAGUUCCCAUCCCCUAAGUCAACUAAGGUUGUAAGUUUCUUGUCCAUCCUUCAGCACACACAUGCAAAUACACAUGCAUUGUUCCCUCUCUCCACCUUUUGGCAAAAGUGGUAUUAUAGCCAACAUACGAUUCUGCAUCUACAAAGACAGGAAUUUGGCAACUUGGAGAGAAGUGGAUUUUUGCAGCUUCACCUAACAGCUGUGAAAUUCAUGAGAAAUGUCUUUUAGGAAAGCAGUUUUUUAUUAGGUAGUAGGUAUGAAAAAUGGAGUCUAAGUUGAGAUCUCAUGUGUCUGGGAGCAUCUGUUGAAUGGGGUGGACCUGUGAGGAGGUAGAAGGUACCUGGGAGAACAAAGUAGGAAAUGUGACAUUUGUGCCUAAGAAUUCUCAUACAAGUUCCCAGGUCUGUCAUGGAACCUUGCCAUCACUGACGUGUUUGCUCGCCAUCACCCCAUCCCCUCCAGCACUCUGGGAAGGCUCUGCCCUCCUGCCAGCACACCCACAGGGGUCCUUGGCUGGAUCCCUCUGAAGUCAGUCACCUACGAAGAUCACCUCCUGUUCUCUGUCAAAAUUGGCCUUGUAUCGCAAAUGCCUCCGUCUUGGCUGGCCACCCUUGCAGUGCCUCCAUCAGGAUUUAUCGUGUGACCAGGUCCCCGUGCUCCUGCUUUAAUGCCCCACCACCAGCUGCAUAUCUGAGCCCCUCUCCUAGCAGGGUGGGUGUGCCUCUUGAAUGUGAAUCAAUUCUAAUAUUUAAAAAAACAGGACCCAGUGUUUUAAAUUACCAUCUGACAUGCCAAGUGAAGUGAAGCUCAUUUUCAGAUGAUUCCCAGCUGUCAUAAUAGCAUUGUGCCUGGAUGGCUCAGUCAUCACAGAAGAAAGGAGGGCAAUUUUAUUUCAAAUUUAACGUGAUAACAGGAAUUAUGAUGGGAAAUCAACUUGAGAUAUUUAGAGCAGCUACUUAGAAUCACAUCAAUUAACAUUUGUCCAUUGCUUUACUGUUGAUAAAGCACUCUUAUGUACACUGUCGUCAUAUAUGUUAGGGAGUGAUGGUGGCUCCAAGGAGAGAACAAAACUGAAGUAUUUCACUGCCUAAACUUAGAAAUGGUGAGGAAACGGACAGGUUCUUUCAAAAGGAGACCACCGAGCUAAGCACAAAAGAAUAAGCAUUACCAGCGCCAAAUCCAGAGAGACUGAGAUGAAAACAUUGUCAAUUCAAGAUAGAUAUAUUGUGGGAGGAGAGUCAAGCCAAACUGAGCUCCUAUAACAAAGUGUCAGGAUGGAGGGCUGUUAGACAACUGUUUGGCCAAAGUAGGUUGCUUGUUCUUUUAUUUAUCGCAUAGGUAAUACAUAGCUUUGUAUUAAAAUAUCACAACUUCAGAUAAACCUGAAAGAAAGUGGCAGUAUAUCUUAGGCUACUCUGUCUAGCCUCUCUUAUGGCCACAUUCUUGGAAACAUUUGCCUGAAUUUCAUCUCCACUGAGACCCCCAAUUUGCUGCUGCUUUCCUUGUUUCCCUGUAAAGUCUUUACCAACCUGCUGUCUCGUCCAGUGGUUUGGGAAUCAACAUUAUCCUAGCUGUUGAUGACUCAGGAAUGGACUUAAUUGAUGAUAACCGCAUGUCCUGGAGGGUUGGCACUCAUAGUUAUCGUUUGUCUCAGAAGCUGAAAUGCGCACUCUAUCCAUAUAAAUUGUGAGAGAAUUCAUCUUGAUGAAUGCCGAGCAUGAUUCGCCACAAGUGGCGAUUUUGACUGGCCAAUUGUGAAUACAUAUGUUCUUUAUGGUGCUUUCCCCAGAGUUUUGCGGAACUGGCUGGAACACAUUUUUGUGUUUCUACUUCCCACCCUCACUCCAUUUGCCUGUCAGUUUCCCUUGCAUACAGUAGGUACUCAAUACAUGUUUACUGAAUGAAAGUUCUCUUUCUUAGAGCAUGAUGAGGCUCCACCGCUGAAUGGGUUCAGAGGGCUUCAUUUCCCAUGAACUCCUCCUGUGCGAAGCGAUUGUCCUGAUGAGAAAGUGAGAGCUGAACUGUUGAAAAGACUGAUUCUCCCCCUUGAAUCAGGAGGUCACGCUGUACCUGAUGGAUGGACCGUCUUUCACGCCUGCAGUGAGAUCUGUCCCCCAGCCGCCACUCAAGACUCUCUUGGCCUGUGAGCACAUUUCUGCAGCUGAAAGAUUGACUGAGGCAUCAGCAUGAAGAAAUUACAUUCUGUCUGCUCAGAAGUCCCACACCAGUGGGCUCGUUAUAGAUGAACCUGAUGGCUCCCUACAAAGUGGAAAAGUCCCAUCACCUCCUGUUAACGUGAGGGUGCUUUUGGAUGAGGUAGCGUUAAAUUGGUUGACUUUGAGGAAAGCAGAUUGCCUCUAUCAGGUGGGUGGGCCUUAUCCAAUCAGCUGAAAACCUGAAUAGAACAAAAGACUGACCUCCUGGGAGCAAGAGGGAGUUCUGCCAGCAGACGGCCUUUGGACUUGAACUGCAAUGUCAGCUCUUCCCUAGGUCUUCAUCUUGAUUGCCUUUCGACUUGAACUACAGAUUUCGGACUUGCCAGCCUCCAUAAUCACAAAACUUGAAAUAGCACCACUGAUACCAGGAGCGGUUCCAGAAAGCUGGCAAGAAGAUGGGGUUGGAGACGGGGUCACUCACCACAGGCUGGUGAGGAGGGUCCCAAUCCAAGUGCUCUGGGCUCUGCAGAGUUCGAGGUCUUUGUCUCAGAGGGGCCGUAUUCUUGGCAGAGGACAGAGCAAGAGUUCCACUGAACUAUGGAUGCUACCUGGACAUUUUGGACUCACUGUGUCCAGGACCAACAGUGAGGAGUCACCAUGUUGGCAGGAGAGAUGAACUCUCCUCAGUAGGAGGAGGCGGGGACGUGUGGGAUCACUGUAGAGCCCCGGUGAUCCACUUAGGUGCCUCUCAGUACUCCUUAGCCCCCAGUAUAUCUGUAAGUGGACCUCUGUAGUAGUCCUUGCCUUACAAGGAUAUGCUUACCAGAGUCUCAGAACCCUCAAUUAAGAGAUCUUUUUUUUUUUUUUACCACAUCCUUCUCUCUUUGUCCCUCCCUUCACAGGUGUCAGAUCAGUAUUAGAUCAGUAUUAUGGUCUGAGGAUUCCCUCUUACUCGUGUCCCCUCUAUCCUUGUCUUUCACAGGCUUUCCCCCCAGUAAAUGUCUUGGCCUUCUAAUUCUAUCUUGGCGUCUGUUUCGUGGAGAAUUCAAACUGACAUAAUGGGCUUAGGUUAGUUGGCUAAUCUUUUCUCCCUCUUAAAAGGAGGAGGAAAGUUGGGUAGGUAUGUAGAGCUAGACAUCAUUGUAAGCCCUGACGUAACCUGUCUAUAGUUUUUAAAAGUAAAAUGGCAGAAAUAGUUAGAAAAUUAGUAAUUUAUUAAUAAGCUUGGUUAUCAAGUCUUUAUUGCUCAGAAAUCAAGGAAAUCACAAGCCAAAAUCAGUCACUAGUUUCCAAAGGAAAUACUUCUCAUAAAGCCCGAAAACAAAAAUUUAACAAAAACUUAAACCAAAAACAUGUUAAUUGUUCUCAUCCUCGCUAACACCUGGGGCUGGUACAUUUGGCCUGAGGAGUUUUGUUUUACCAUAGUGCAUUGUUAAUGCUCCAUGUAUAAGUGAUAACUCGUGGGCUUUAAGUGAUAUUAACUAAUCUUUGACAUGAUCUUUCAUUAAAGGUGGUAUUUUAUAUUACAGUCAGAUACACUUUCAUUGUGAUGGUCUGAUUUUUCUUUCUGUGGCUCCUGUGGGUGUCACCAAAGAAAGUAAAAUUAGGACAAGGUCAAUUUUAUGUUUACUAGACAGUAACUAGAACAUUCUAAAUGCACAAUUAGUGUUUAGACUAUAUUUGUGCACUUUUUAGCAAAUGUGUGGUAUUGAAAAACAUAAUCCACUCUAGUCAGAAGCAGUUCUUUUUUACUAAAUGAAAAUGUGUUGGCAACUGCUCCGUUUCCAUGGAUUUAUGACUCUAAUAGGUCCUGAAAAUAAAACCCAAUCUUUGCCAAAAUCUCACUUAUGCUUUAUAUCAAUAACAUGCCCUUUAUCCCUGCUUAUGCAUUUGGGAAACAGAGAAACUAUACCAAUUAGUUAAAAAUCCAUUAGUUAGAACUCUAAAGAACGGAUUUGGAGGGAGGGGACAUGUGUGGGAGCUGACACCUAACACUUUAUUUUUAUGAAAAAGAGAAAAAUUGUACAGAAUCAUGAUGAAUUGAAAAAGAGUGAAUAUUUUCCAGAAUACAUUUGGAAGUGUAUAGUUCAAAUUUAAACCAUUUUCAAUAUCUAAUGAUGUUAAAUCACUGCAGGAGACCUCAAGCAACAAGAGAGAUACAGUUAUGUCCAAGACAUUCUACUUACAGAAACAAGUGCACUAUACAUUUAAUUCUCUAAUUCUAGUGACUGCAAAAGGAUUAAACAGGGUUUAAUCCUCAGUUAACUGGAAAAUCAAAUCACCAACUUGAACUCCAUUCCCUAAAUAAGCAACUCUUAAUUUUAGCUGCACUUUAGCAUGUUCUGGGGGAACUUUCCAAAUUCUCAAUGCCCAGGUCCCACUUCAGGCUAAUUAAAUCAGAAUUACGGUGGUUGUUGUUGCUGUUUUUUAAUCCACAGGUGAUGUGUGGCCAAGAUUGAGAUCCACUACCUUGGAUACUACAAUUGUUUUAAGUUUAAGCUUACUACAGUUAUUUUAAGUUU